rnacentral:rRNA from 1 species
AUUGAACGCUGGCGGCAGGCCUAACACAUGCAAGUCGAACGGUAACAGGAAGAAGCUUGCUUCUUUGCUGACGAGUGGCGGACGGGUGAGUAAUGUCUGGGAAACUGCCUGAUGGAGGGGGAUAACUACUGGAAACGGUAGCUAAUACCGCAUAACGUCGCAAGACCAAGGAGGGGGACCUUCGGGCCUCUUGCCAUCGGAUGUGCCCAGAUGGGAUUAGCUAGUAGGUGGGGUAACGGCUCACCUAGGCGACGAUCCCUAGCUGGUCUGAGAGGAUGACCAGCCACACUGGAACUGAGACACGGUCCAGACUCCUACGGGAGGCAGCAGUGGGGAAUAUUGCACAAUGGGCGCAAGCCUGAUGCAGCCAUGCCGCGUGUAUGAAGAAGGCCUUCGGGUUGUAAAGUACUUUCAGCGGGGAGGAAGGGAGUAAAGUUAAUACCUUUGCUCAUUAACGUUACCCGCAGAAGAAGCACCGGCUAACUCCGUG